CCGCCCCACCCUGGCGGCUGCUCCCGCCCUGCCCGAACCCGGUUUGUCUGGUUCUCCCCGAGAGGCUUGUUUCUCCAAUUUCUCCCUUUCCCCCUCUUCCCGGACCUCCGCGCCCGCCCUCUCGCCCGGCUCCCGGGGCCCGCGGGGGGCGUCUGGCCACGGCGGGCUCGCCGCGUUUCGCCACACGGGCCACCUGCUGUUCCUCAAACCCAUCAGGCACCUCCCUGCCUCCCGGCCUUUGCACUGGCUCCCCUAGAAUGCCAGCUUCAUGAGGGACCUGCGUAUUGUCCACUGAUGUCUUCACGGUGCCUAACUACCUGGCACUCAAUAUACUGUAUGUGAAUUGAAUGAAUAUGUAAAUGAGUGAUUUGUUGUAAACUUAAAACACUCACAUAACA